rnacentral:rRNA from 1 species
AGAGUUUGAUCCUGGCUCAGAACGAACGCUGGCGGCGUGGCUAAGACAUGCAAGUCGAACGGUCCGGCACUAAUUUGUUUACAAAUAAGUGUCGGAUAGUGGCGAAAGGGUUAGUAAUGGAUAGGUAACGUGCCCUAUGCUUCGGGAUAGCGUCAUUCGCCUUCGGGCGAAUUUCCGAAAGGGGCGGUAAUACCGGAUAACAUCAUUUGUCGACGGACAAAUGCUCAAAGAUUUAUCGGCAAAGGAGCGGCCUAUCUCCUAUCAGCUUGUUGGUGAGGUAACGGCUCACCAAGGCUAUGACGGGUAGCGGGGCUGAGAGGUUGACCCGCAACAUCGGGACUGAGACACUGCCCGGACCUCCACGGAGGGCUGCAGUAACGAAUAUUGCGCAAUGGGUGAAAGCCUGACGCAGCGACGCCGCGUGCGGGAGGAAGUCCCUUGGGAUGUAAACCGCUGUCAGGGCUAAGAAAGUUCACUUCGGUGGAUUGAUCUAACCCAGAGGAAGUCACGGCUAACUUCGUGCCAGCAGCCGCGGUAAGACGAAGGUGGCUAGCGUUGUUCGGUGUCACUGGGCUUAAAGAGUGUGUAGGCGGAAAAGUAAGCGUUUUGUGAAAGCCCCCGGCUUAACCGGGGAACUGCUUGACGAACUGCUUUUCUUGAGCCAAGUAGGGGUGCAUGGAACUCUUGGUGGAGCGGUGGAAUGCGUAGAUAUCAAGAGGAACGCCGGUGGUGAAAACGGUGCACUGGGCUUGUGCUGACGCUGAGACACGAAAGCGUGGGGAGCGAACGGGAUUAGAUACCCCGGUAGUCCACGCCGUAAACGAUGUCUACUAGGUUGCGGAAGUUCUGACACUUGCGCGGCCGAAGCAAAGUGUUAAGUAGACCGCCUGGGGAGUACGGCCGCAAGGCUAAACUCAAAGGAAUUGACGGGGCCCCACACAAGCGGUGGAGCAUGUGGAUUAAUUCGAAGCAACGCGCAGAACCUUACCUGGUUUGAAAUGCUGAUGCAUCUGGAAACAAGGAGCUGCCCUCGGGUGAACUGCAAGGUGCUGCAUGCUGUCGUCAGCCCGGUCUGAAUGUCGGGUAGUCUUACGAGGCGAACCUGCGUAGUGCACGGUAAGCGGAACUCUAACGGAACUGCGGU